rnacentral:tRNA from 1 species
GCCAUGGCUUAGUGGUAGAGCACGUGCUUGGCACGCAGAAGGUCCUGGGCUCGAUCUCUGGUAUCUCCG